GAUGAACGCUGGCGGCGUGCCUAAUACAUGCAAGUCGAGCGAACGGACGAGAAGCUUGCUUCUCUGAUGUUAGCGGCGGACGGGUGAGUAUCACGUGGAUAACCUACCUAUAAGACUGGGAUAACUUCGGGAAAGCGGAGCUAAUACCGGAUAAGAUUUUGAACCGCAUGGUUCAAAAGUGAAAGACGGUCGUGCUGGGACUGAUAGAGGGAUCCGCGCUGAAUUAGCUACUUGGUAAGGUAACGGCUUACCAAGGCAACGAUGCAUAGACGACCUGAGAGGGUGAUCCGCCACACUGUGCGUGAGACACUGUCCCCCCUCCUACGUCACGCCGCAGUCGGUCCUCUUCCUCAAUGGGCGACUGCCUGACGUCGCAACGGCGCUUGAGUGCUGAAGCUCUUCCGAUCGUAAAACUCUGUUAUUAUGGAAGUCCAUCUGUGUAAGUAACGGUGCACCUCUUGACGGUACCUAAUCAGAAAGCCACGGCUAACUACGU
rnacentral:rRNA from 1 species